rnacentral:rRNA from 1 species
UACGGGGGGAGCAAGCGUUGUUCGGAUUUACUGGGCGUAAAGGGCGCGUAGGCGGCCACUGCAAGUCAGUUGUGAAAUCUCCGGGCUUAACCCGGAAGGGUCGUUCGAUACUGUUGAGCUAGAGUGUGGAAGAGGCAACUAGAAUUCCGUGUGUAGCGGUGAAAUGCGUAGAUAUACGGAGGAAUACCUGAGGCGAAGGCGGGUUGCUGGGCCAACACUGACGCUGAGGCGCGAAAGCCAGGGGAGCAAACGGG